UACGUAGGUGGCAAGCGUUGUUCGGAUUUAUUGGGUUUAAAGGGUGCGUAGGCGGUCUUUUAAGUCAGUGCUGAAAUAUCCCGGCUUAACCGGGAGGGUGGCAUUGAUACUGAAGGACUUGAGUUCAGUCGAGGUAGGCGGAAUUGACGGUGUAGCGGUGAAAUGCUUAGAUAUCGUCAAGAACACCGAUAGUGUAGACAGCUUACUAGGCUGAAACUGACGCUGAGGCACGAAAGUGUGGGGAUCAAACAGG
rnacentral:rRNA from 1 species